UACGAAGGGGGCUAGCGUUGCUCGGAAUCACUGGGCGUAAAGCGCACGUAGGCGGAUCUUUAAGUCAGGGGUGAAAUCCCAAGGCUCAACCUUGGAACUGCCCUUGAUACUGGGGAUCUCGAGUCCGGAAGAGGUUGGUGGAACUGCGAGUGUAGAGGUGAAAUUCGUAGAUAUUCGCAAGAACACCAGUGGCGAAGGCGGCCAACUGGUUCGGCACUGACGCUGAGGUGCGAAAGCGUGGGGAGCGAACAGG
rnacentral:rRNA from 1 species